UGUAGCUGCAUGAUGCAUGUGCGUGUGGGGCCUGGCUGACCGAUGCAUCAUGUGUGCCUCGCCUCCAUCUACAGCAGUUGGAGAAAGAGAUGGACUGGCGCCUACGACGCGUUGGUCGAUGCCGCAGCCGCCGCCAUCCGCGAGCUCGGGUGCACGGUCGCGCUCAUGGACCUCCACCGUUGCCUCGACGCCUUCAGCGAGUCCUGCGACCGAGCCGAGGGCCUCGUCCAGGCCGCCGCUGCCUCCAGCCACCACGAGCUGUGCCGCGCCGUGCGCGCGGUCGACGAGGAUCUCUGUGCCGCCGCCGGCCGUCCGGGAGGAGAAUGAGAUAGAAGAGGAGAAGAAUAGCCCUCCGACCACGCCACUGGCGGCCGAGGACAAAUAGCCCAAUCGAUCUUCCUCGUCUCCUGAAGAUGAAUGAAACUGUGACGGGAAAGGAGAGAUGGACUGAGAUAUUUUUCCUCGCCAUGUCGCAUGGUGGUCGAGAUGCGGAAGCCCCAUGCUCUGUUUCGAUGGGCCUCCUCUGCUCAAUGGUUGCCGCUGGUAGAGUUUGGUACAGUUUCCUGUUGUUGCUUGCGUCGAACCUUGGGUCCGUCUCUCCUUCUCAUUGAGUUCAGCCUACUUCUCCUGUCGCUAGCGCUUCUUCUCGUCUAUCCUGCUGCUUACCCAACAUGCUUCUGCUUGCUGCCUCAGGUUGUACGAUCUCUUAUGUCGCUGCGCCGUUCAACUCAUCAAGGUUUUCUUCUUUCCUUUCUACCACAUGUGUGCAUGUUUUACUUUCAGUAUCUUCUGUCUCAUGUUGUCAAUCUUGGUGAUCUUUUAAAUAUCUCUAUGUUGUGCUGGUCGUUUAAAUGUUCAGGAUACGGUCAGGCGUUGUAUGUUGUUCGUUCUCGUGCUGCUUAUAUUGCGUGUGAGCACGAUUUGUCCGCUUGUUACCGUUGUUAUACCUGUUUUGAGGUCGUGGUAACUCAAUGCCCCCACGCUCACUCUUUCUGUUGUACACAGAAGCUUAUUUGUCCAAUUCUCAGACUAAUUUUUUGAAAGAAACCGCAAUUCAUUAUGAUGCCAAUUAUGGAUAUGGAUCCAUCUUGCUGCACUGGAUGAAGGACUGGACGUAAUAAGAAUUGCAUGUGACAAUUUCUCAUGCAUAGUAUUUGUUGUACAAACAUCCAGUUAAUUCUUGAGAUACAAUAGAGACACUAUAAUGGUACUACUUCAGUGAAAUGUCGCUCUAGCUAUUAAUUUGCAGAAUCUUGCAUGACAAACUGUAGGCAUGUGAUAUAUAUGGUGUUCCAGUAAAUAAAGAAAACUGGAACAUGUGCCUUCAAAUUUUCUAUUUAUAUACAAAAACCAUGCAUUGGUACAUAUGAACCAUAUGAAUAAGACUGAAGAAGAUAUAUUUUUUUGUCAUGUUUGUGAGUUUUCUGUUAUUUCCUCUCAGUGUGAAUAGGACUAAAGAAGAUGGGCAUAGCAUUUUAGGUAAUUUCACUUUUUUUUGAACAGCAAACCGUAGAACAGUAGUUCUAUGGUAUAUUUUCAUUAAAAAAACAGUAUGUUACUACGGGAAAGGAGAAAAUAGAAACAAAAUAAAAAAGAUCUAAGCUAACGGGGCAGAGUCCUUAUCCAAUUUCUGUUUUGGGCAACAUGAGAAUCAUUUAAAAAUUGAUCUGACAGCCUGCUUCAACAAGGUGGAAUGCUCAUCUUUGAUCUUGUGUUGAAGUAGUUGAAGAUCUUUUUUUAAUUCAAGCCUCCAAUUUGAGAGUCGGCUGGAUGUUUCUGAAGACCUUGCCAUCUCACUUUGUCCUGGGUUAAUAACAGAUUACAAAUUUAUUUUUUGAGAUAGGACAUGUUAUUUACGAAGGUAUACCAUUUCUAUUGACUGGAUAAUUUACAUGUUGGCAAGGACUUAUUGGUGCAGCCUGGUCAUAAUUGCUCAGCCAAUUUCCCAACCCAAAUCCAGAACCGCUUCAUCUUUAGAUCUUUACGUGCUUGAUGAAAUGCCUUAGAGACUAAGAUCUGCACUUUGUUUUUCUCCGUUCUCCUGCUCACGGAUUAACCGAUGGCUGUAAGACCCAGAGAAGCAUUACGAACUGGUCUGCAGUGUCUUCCAGUGUAUGCGUACACAAAAUUCACUUUACUUUUCUUUUUGCCCUUUGUAUAAAUGAUGUGGUUGAGUUACGAAGCCUCUUCUUGCAGUGUUGUCUGCAAGGCCGAAGAGAAGUUACUAAUGCAUUUGAGCUGCUCUAUGUGAUUGUUCAUCUCCUGAACCUGUUUUAGUUGACAUAAAAGUGUUCUCUAUUUCAGAAAGCGACAACACGAGAUUGUGCCCCCUCUUGCUCCAGAACAAAGUUGAAGAGAUGACUUGGAAUCUCUUGGAUAUGUACUCAUGUACUUCAUACGGGGAAGCCUUCCUUGGUAAGGUCUGAAAGCAGGAACGAGGAAGCAAAAGUAUGCGAAGAUCAGUGAGAAAAAAUUUGCAACAUCAGUUGAGGUACUUGGUAGUUAUAAUGCGUGUACUGGUUGUUGGCACUCCGCCCUGUAUAUCUAGGUUGGUUAUAAUGUUCUGAUUAUUUUUUAGGCUCUGUGUCAUGGGUAUCCUACUGAGUUCACAUCAUAUUUCCAUUAUGGUUAUUGCCGCUCGCUUCGGUUUGGCGACGAGCCUGAUUAUUCCUACCUUAAGCGACUGUUACGUGACCUAUUUAUCCAUGAAGGUUUGAUUUUGUUUUCAUUCUUGAAGAGCAUUAGGAAGUAUCAUUUUCCUCUUCAUACUUAAAUCUACGAGAUAUUAACUUCCCUCGUCUAUACUUGAUGGAAACCUGUUGCACUUUGUGUAUUAUUGAAGUACCAACAUCCAAAAUGCUUUAAAGGUUACAGCCGUAAGGUUCAUAUCAGAAUAAUGCCUUGCAGGUUUUCAGUUUGACUAUGUAUUUGACUGGACAAUAUUGAAGUACCAGCAAUCUCAAAUUGCUGGUGCUCUGCCUCGUGUUGCAGUAAGUCUUUCAUGCACUCACCAACCAAAGACAUGUAUAUUUUCAUAUAGCCAUCCAUGUGAAAUUGCGACGUCUUACAUAUAUUCUACAUGGCCAUGGUGCGGGACCUUUUGGGUUGACACCACCUGUAUUGCAGAAUGAUAGUCAAUCUGGUAAUUGGUUUAUUUUGAUCAUUCCUUACGAGUAUUACUAUCACUGUUUUUAGGAAAUAUUGAUGAGUAAUUGGCUUAUAAUAAAGUUGCCAGAAAGUUUCUUUGCUUCUAUGGCUAACUUGAACCAGAUGGUCACCGGUUGGUCCUCCUCUUCUCUCCUCGCGCCAUCGUCCUCCUCAUCCAUCUCCCGAUUCAGCCAAGACAACAGGGAUCAAGACUGUAUUAUGUUGAAAAAAGGAAAGAGACUACUCUUUUGUUACUUACAUUACAGAUAUAUGUUAUAACAUUACCUUUAUGCUCUCUUUGGAUUUCAUUUUGUGCCUACCAACAAGUAAGUCACUAAUAUCAAUGCCUAAGAAUUAUUUUGUUUGCCAUUCUAAUCAUGACUGCAGAGAGCAAUGGAUAUAGAAGAAAUAUGUAAACAAUUGUCCCUUAGAAGAAUAUGCAACAACUUAUUCAGAAGAGAGCAAGGGAUAUAUAAGAAAUCUCCAGGCAACUUCGCUUAGAUGCAUCAUCUUCUAGUAGGAGUCAGCUUGAAGAAUGACCUUCCCAGGUUAAUUCUUGAGUCAGUGUUUUGGCUUUUCUCCAUUGGUUCGUAAAAUGUUGUUCCUAUGUUGCGGGAGACUGCAACUGACAUGUUGGAUGCGAGACUGCAACUGACAUACUGGAUGGGGAAUAACCAACUUUUUGGCCAAAGAGCUACAACCAAGGACAAAGAGUUCAUCGCAAGGGGGUGGUGUUUAGGAUAUAUACACAAAAGUGGAAACUUUCUUUUGUACAGAACCAAAUUAUAUGAUGUAAUUGAUCAUUAUUUCUAAGACCUUCUCCUGAACUCAAUAUUCAUCAUGUAUUAAGUGCAUUUUA